GCCUCAGCGGGAGGCACGGAAAUGCUAGCCGAGCCUGCUGGCGUGAAAGCCCCCGGGGCCUGGCACCCCCCAAAACGACCCCCCACCUCUGCCCCUGCCCCCUUACUCGGAUUACCCACGGCUGCCCCUCUCUUCCUGAGUCUACCCCUCCUCAUUACCUGUGCUGGCGACCUAAAUUCAAAGCAUUUUGUAUGUAUAAUUUCUUUUUCUGUUUGCUUUUUCUACUGUAUGACUGGGGGGGGGAGGGGCCAGCCUGUCCAGACCCCUAUCCAUUUGCGAACCUGCCAUAUGGAGGAGGCAUCUGAGGGGCUCAGGGAGAAAUUAGCGCAGCUCUCUAUCUGUAUAGACUGCCUAACUUUUAAGCUCCCGAGGCUGAAAUAAUAACAUGGGCACACAGGUACAGGAAAUACAGCCAGUCCACAGCCUUUUCAGACUGCAUCUGACCGGAAGACGGCCUUUCAUUCAUUCAUUCAUUCGGACAGCCUUGGUUGAAGAGCCAUGAAAUAAGUUGGGCAAGAAAAGAAAAGAAAGUCUCUACACUCGCCGAGAAGAGAUAAAUCGAUACUCAAGAGGGAAAGAGAAUCGGAGUCAGCGUCUCUAACGCAGCUCACAAACAGGCAGGCGAAAGUCUCGUGUGGAUUAAAGUCAAAAAGGAAAAACAAAAGUGUCCAGAGACUUUCAGACCUGACCCUUGGGGGAAGAGUUUAAUGUUCUACACAGAAUCCUCCUCUUCAUACUGUCUCUUCCUGUGUAAGGAUGGGAAGAACCCUUAACCACAGGAAAAUAGAGCGCUAUGGAGUGAAUGUCACCCUGAGGAGACCGUCUUCCUUUGGUCACGGUGGCUCCUGGUUUCAUGGCCUCAGCAGCCUUCCUUGAAACACUCUACAUCUUUGUUCUUGGUCAUGCCCUUGGUAACCAAAUGGUGAAUGCCAGCAAGCUUUGUGAAUUAAGAGAGGUGUAAGAACCCUGGUUCGGGGAG